AUACGUAGGGUGCGAGCGUUGUCCGGAAUUACUGGGCGUAAAGAGCUCGUAGGUGGUUUGUCGCGUCGUCUGUGAAAUUCCGGGGCUUAACUCCGGGCGUGCAGGCGAUACGGGCAUAACUUGAGUACUGUAGGGGAGACUGGAAUUCCUGGUGUAGCGGUGAACUGCGCAGAUAUCAGGAGGAACACCGGUGGCGAAGGCGGGUCUCUGGGCAGUAACUGACGCUGAGGAGCGAAAGCAUGGGUAGCGAACAGGAUUAGAUACCCUGGUAGUCCAUGCCGUAAACGGUGGGCGCUAGGUGUAGGGGUCUUCCACGACUUCUGUGCCGUAGCUAACGCAUUAAGCGCCCCGCCUGGGGAGUACGGCCGCAAGGCUAAAACUUAAAGGAAUUGACGGGG
rnacentral:rRNA from 1 species